GACCAGGUGGCGUAGUGGCAACGCACGCAGGAUGAGUUCCCGCUCAACAAUAUCUACCUGCGAGUUCUUCGUUCGAUUCAGAGUCUGGCUG